UGUUGCUUGCAAGGGCGUAUGGUGGAUGCCUUGGCAGACAGGACCGAUGAAGGACGUUUGAGGCUGCGAUAUGCCUCGGGGAGCCGCCAACAGGGCUUUGAUCCGAGGAUUUCCGAAUGGGGGAACCCACCGACCGUCAUGGGUCGGUACCGGCUUCGGCCGGGGGGUACGCAGGGAAGUGAAACAUCUCAGUACCUGCAGGAAAGGAUAUUCCGUGAGUAGUGGCGAGCGAAAGCGGAUGAUGGCCAAACCUUGCGCGUGUGAUACCCGUCGGGGGUUGCGCGCGGGGUGUUGCGGGAUCGCGUGCGCCGGCUCCGACGGGCCGGCCGGCAGUUGCAGAAAACCAUGUGUCAGGGGAACCGGGUUGAAUACCGGGCCGCAGAGGGUGAGGGCCCCGUACCUGAACGCGCAUGGUCUGCCGAUCGCGUCUCCCAAGUAGCACGGGUCCCGUGGAACCCCGUGCGAAUCCGCCCAGACCGUUGGGUAAGCCUGAAUAUUCCUGUCUGACCGAUAGCGAACGAGUACCGUGAGGGAAAGGUGAAAAGUACCCCGGGAGGGGAGUGAAACAGUCUCUGAAACCGUGCGCCUACAAUCCGUCGGAGCCCUUUUGUGGGGUGACGGCGUGCCUAUCGAAAAAUGAGUCUGCGAGUCAGUGGCAUGUGGCGAGCAUAACCCGUGUGGGGUAUGCGUAGCGAAGGCGAGUCUUAAAAGGCGUUUGAGUCGCGUGUCCUGGACCCGAAGCGGGAUGAUCUAGCCCUGAGCAGGUUGAAGCGCGGGUAAGACCGCGUGGAGGACCGAACCCACCUGGGUUGAAAACCGGGGGGAUGACCUGGGGCUAGGGGUGAAAGGCCAAUCAAAUUCCGUGAUAGCUGGUUCUCUCCGAAAUGCAUUUAGGUGCAGCGUCGGUUGAUUGCAUCGCGGGGGUAGAGCUACUGGAUGCUUGCGGGCCCGUGUCGGGUACCAAUAGCAGCCAAACUCCGAAUACCGUGGAUGUGUAUUCCGGCAGUGAGUCGGCGGGGGAUAAGCUCCGUCGUCGAGAGGGAGACAGCCCAGAUCGUCGUCUAAGGUCCCGAAGCGUGUGCUAAGUGGGAAAGGAUGUGGAGUCGCAUAGACAGCCAGGAGGUUGGCUCAGAAGCAGCCACCCUUGAAAGAGUGCGUAACAGCUCACUGGUCUAGUGGUUCCGCGCCGACAAUGUAGCGGGGCUCAAGCACACCACCGAAGACGCGGCAGUAUUUUGUACUGGGUAGGAGAGCGUCCCAUGAGGGGCGAAGCGGCCGUGUGAACGCGCCGUGGACUUCAUGGGAGUGAGAAUGCAGACAUGAGUAGCGAGAGACGGGUGAAGAUCCCGUCCGCUGGAUGACCAAGGGUUCCAGGGCCACGUUCAUCGUCCCUGGGUGAGUCGGGUCCUAAGGCGAGGCCGACAGGCGUAGUCGAAUGGAUGAACGGGUCGAUAUUCCCGUACCGGCUUUCAGCCGCCAAAACCGAGGCUUGGAGUACUAACCUCCGGGUCCGGGCUUACUGCUCCUUCGGGGGCGGGAUGCCCUGGCCUGUUGGGACCGAUCCUUGUAGUAGGUCAGCGCAGGAGUGACGCAGAAGGGUAGCCGGCCGCGGAGGUGGUCUUCCGUGGUCAAGCACGCAGGGCGUGGGACAGGCAAAUCCGUCCCGCAUGGGUCCGAGGUGCGAUGAUGGGGGCCUUAUGGCCCGAUAUCCGGUGAUCCCGGCUGCCGAGAAAAGCUUCGGCGUCAGGCUCAAAGCCGCCCGUACCCCAAACCGACACUGGUGGUCAGGUAGAGAAUACCAAAGCGAUCGAGCGAAUCCUGGUCAAGGAACUCGGCAAAUCACUCCCGUUCCUUCGGUUUAAGGGAGACCCCCGAUGGUGAACACACUUGCUGUGGGAGCUUUUGGGGGUGGCACAGACCAGGGGGUAGCGACUGUUUACCAAAAACACAGGUGCAUGCGAAGGCGCAAGCCGCUGUAUAUGCACUGACGCCUGCCCGGUGCCGGAAGGUUAAGAGGAUCCGUCAGCCUUCGGGUGAAGCGGUGAAUUCAAGCCCCGGUAAACGGCGGUUGAAACUAUAACCAUCCUAAGGUAUCGAAAUUCCUUGUCUGGUAAGUUCCGACCUGCACGAAUGGCGUAACGACUUCCCCACUGUCUCGACCAGGAGCUCGGCGAAAUUGCAGUACGAGUAAAGAUGCUCGUUAAGCGCAGAAGGACGAAAAGACCCCGGGACCUUUACUAUACCUUGGUAUUGGCAUUCGGUGUGGAUUGUGUAGCAU
rnacentral:rRNA from 1 species